rnacentral:rRNA from 1 species
UACAGAGGGGGCAAGCGUUAUUCGGAAUUAUUGGGCGUAAAGGGCGCGUAGGCGGCCUGACAAGUGGAAGGUGAAAUCCCUCGGCUCAACCGGGGAACUGCGUCCGAUACUGGCGGGCUUGAAUUCGGGAGAGGGAUGUGGAAUUCCAGGUGUAGCGGUGAAAUGCGUAGAUAUCUGGAGGAACACCGGUGGCGAAGGCGGCAUCCUGGACCGACAUUGACGCUGAGGCGCGAAAGCCAGGGGAGCGAACGGG